UACGUAUGGAGCAAGCGUUAUCCGGAUUUACUGGGUGUAAAGGGAGCGUAGGCGGUAAGGCAAGUCUGAUGUGAAAGGCCAGGGCUCAACCCUGGGACUGCAUUGGAAACUGUUUAACUGGAGUGUCGGAGAGGCAAGUGGAAUUCCUAGUGUAGCGGUGGAAUGCGUAGAUAUUAGGAGGAACACCAGUGGCGAAGGCGGAUUGCUAGACUGUAACUGACACUGAGGCACGAAAGCGUGGGGAGCAAACAGG
rnacentral:rRNA from 1 species